GGAUGAUGAGAAAGACAAAACAAAAGACAAAGGUGAAGAUGAUGAAGAAGCAGAAGACUCAGAGGAAUAUGAUCAAGAAGAGCAAGAAGAGGAAAAUGACUACAUUUCUUCGUAUUUUGAAGACGGAGAUGACUUUAGUGCUGGCAGUGAUGACAAUACGAAUGAAGCAACAUACUAGCUAUUGUUCCUGGGUGGUAUCCUGCUCAAGCCGUACAAUACCUGAAAUAGAAUUUUGCAGGUGGGCCAAGUAUCAACUAAACUAAUACUUCAGCUCUGUUGGUUUUAAGUAUACCCUACAAAAAUAUGUUGUACAAUU